CGGAGGAAAAGAAACCAACAGGGAUUGCCUUAGUAGCGGCGAGUGAAGCGGCAAAAGCUCAAAUUUGAAAUCUGGCUCUUUCAGAGUCCGAGUUGUAAUUUGAAGAAGGUAUCUUUGGGUCUGGCUCUUGUCUAUGUUUCUUGGAACAGAACGUCACAGAGGGUGAGAAUCCCGUGCGAUGAGAUGAUCCAGGCCUAUGUAAAGUUCCUUCGAAGAGUCGAGUUGUUUGGGAAUGCAGCUCUAAGUGGGUGGUAAAUUCCAUCUAAAGCUAAAUAUUGGCGAGAGACCGAUAGCGAACAAGUACAGUGAUGGAAAGAUGAAAAGAACUUUGAAAAGAGAGUGAAAAAGUACGUGAAAUUGUUGAAAGGGAAGGGCUUGAGAUCAGACUUGGUAUUUUGUAUGUUACUUCUUCGGGGGUGGCCUCUACAGUUUAUCGGGCCAGCAUCAGUUUGGGCGGUAGGAGAAUUGCGUUGGAAUGUGGCACGGCUUCGGUUGUGUGUUAUAGCCUUCGUCGAUACUGCCAGCCUAGACUGAGGACUGCGGUUUAUACCUAGGAUGUUGGCAUAAUGAUCUUAAGUCGCCCGUCUUGAACCACGGA
rnacentral:rRNA from 1 species